rnacentral:lncRNA from 12 species
CAAGGACUCUGAGGAUGGCUGUAGUGGUCAUUUCGAGGAUUGCUUUGAGAAAGCAACUGCAAGACACUACAAUCAAGAAGUCACUUUUCCAGGAUGCAGUUCAUCCUCUGCACCAUGGGUACCACUACUUUGGGUUCAGAUCAGCCAUGUUGGUUUAGGUAGUGGGGAGCUCAGUUUUUGUUCUUCCUUGACUUUAAACCAUAAAAAAAGUACCACACAGGAACCACACAUACACAUGUUAACUCUUUUUCCUAAUUACAUACUGAAGAUUUACCCGAAUUGUUGUUGAUGAAUAAUUUUACACUUUUAAUGUCAUAAAUUAUGUAGCUACCUAUAAUAUUAAUGUAAGUUAACUUUCUACAGAAAAUGAAUAAAUUAGAUACUUCUCCUGACAGAAGAACACAUGGUGUUGCCCUCUUCUAUAGUGAUACAGGUCAAUGACCCUAGUGCAGUUCUGCUUCAGUAUGCCAUUAUUUUCCAUGUGUUCAUAAAGUAAUAAUGAAUGUAAUAUGGGAAACAUCCCUUGGGAUGCUCCAUGAAACAGACAUUUCUGACUCCAUCUAGUAAAUACAUGUCUUAAAAAAAAAAAAAAACAGCAACCCCCCCCAACAAACAGAUUAUUUGCUAAACUGAAAUUGCAAAAGGAUUUAGUUAAGGGAAAGUAACUGUGAAAGAAGCUAACUGUAUGCAAAUGUGAUUCAUAUAAUAUUAUUUUUCGCCACCUUUGUGGCGUAGGUGUUCACUUGGAAAGAGACUUGAUGCAAUAAGCUCAU